GACGAACGCUGGCGGCGUGCUUAACACAUGCAAGUCGAACGGAAAGGCCCUGCUUUUGUGGGGUGCUCGAGUGGCGAACGGGUGAGUAACACGUGAGUAACCUGCCCUUGACUUUGGGAUAACUUCAGGAAACUGGGGCUAAUACCGGAUAGGAGCUCCUGCUGCAUGGUGGGGGUUGGAAAGUUUCGGCGGUUGGGGAUGGACUCGCGGCUUAUCAGCUUGUUGGUGGGGUAGUGGCUUACCAAGGCUUUGACGGGUAGCCGGCCUGAGAGGGUGACCGGCCACAUUGGGACUGAGAUACGGCCCAGACUCCUACGGGAGGCAGCAGUGGGGAAUAUUGCACAAUGGGCGGAAGCCUGAUGCAGCAACGCCGCGUGCGGGAUGACGGCCUUCGGGUUGUAAACCGCUUUCGCCUGUGACGAAGCGUGAGUGACGGUAAUGGGUAAAGAAGCACCGGCUAACUACGUGCCAGCAGCCGCGGUGAUACGUAGGGUGCGAGCGUUGUCCGGAUUUAUUGGGCGUAAAGGGCUCGUAGGUGGUUGAUCGCGUCGGAAGUGUAAUCUUGGGGCUUAAACCCUGACCGUGCUUUCGAUACGGGUUGACUUGAGGAAGGUAGGGGAGAAUGGAAUUCCUGGUGGAGCGGUGGAAUGCGCAGAUAUCAGGAGGAACACCAGUGGCGAAGGCGGUUCUCUGGGCCUUUCCCUGACGCUGAGGAGCGAAAGCGUGGGGAGCGAACAGGCUUAGAUACCCUGGUAGUCCACGCUGUAAACGGUGGGUACUAGGUGUGGGGUCCAUUCCACGGGUUCCGUGCCGUAGCUAACGCUUUAAGUACCCCGCCUGGGGAGUACGGCCGCAAGGCUAAAACUCAAAGGAAUUGACGGGGCCCCGCACAAGCGGCGGAGCAUGCGGAUUAAUUCGAUGCAACGCGUAGAACCUUACCUGGGUUUGACAUGGAUCGGGAGUGCUCAGAGAUGGGUGUGCCUCUUUUGGGGUCGGUUCACAGGUGGUGCAUGGCUGUCGUCAGCUCGUGUCGUGAGAUGUUGGGUUAAGUCCCGCAACGAGCGCAACCCUUGUUCACUGUUGCCAGCACGUUAUGGUGGGGACUCAGUGGAGACCGCCGGGGUCAACUCGGAGGAAGGUGGGGAUGACGUCAAGUCACCAUGCCCCUUAUGUCCAGGGCUUCACGCAUGCUACAAUGGCUGGUACAGAGAGUGGCGAGCCUGUGAGGGUGAGCGAAUCUCGGAAAGCCGGUCUCAGUUCGGAUUGGGGUCUGCAACUCGACCUCAUGAAGUCGGAGUCGCUAGUAAUCGCAGAUCAGCAACGCUGCGGUGAGUACGUUCCCGGG
rnacentral:rRNA from 1 species